rnacentral:rRNA from 1 species
GAAUGUAGCUUCGAUUUCGAUUGAAGUGUUAUAGCUUCGGCAGAUGUGAUGAUCGGGAUUGAGGAUUGCAACGAAUACCUUCAGGGCUGUUCCCCUGGCCUCUCUUUGGUAUCCUGGUGACGACAGCUUGCUGACGUCGUUAGGAUUCGCCUUGAACAGGCUAGAGUGUGAGCAAAUUCGUUAAGGAUGUUAACGUAAUGGCUUUAAACGA